GAUUAACUCUUUUGAAUCCAUUCUAAAUAAUCUGAUCAUGUGAUUAAUUUGAUAAGGUAUUUUUUGCAUAAAAUUAUGAAUGAUCAAAUAAUUGGCAGGGGAUUAUGAAAAAGGAUGGUAAAAAAGGAGUCACAA
rnacentral:pre_miRNA from 1 species